UCCAGCCUCCGCAUCUGGCAGCUACUCUCACAGCCUUCAGAGCUUGAGGAGGCACUGGGCUGCCGCAGAGUGCCAGCCAUGGCGUCUCGACCCAGGUGCCAGUACCAUGACCCUGGCUACUACUGCCUGGGAGUGUUUGAAGUGGAAAUAAGAUCUCAAUCUGUGCAGGGUCCGGCGCCAGGAGCCAGAGGACGCGACUUUGAGGAAGGAGAUCCAGGCCUUGGGAUCCCGUGAACCAUGAGGGCAACAUCAACCAAGAAGGCGACGGCGACCACGAGGGUGGCGAUGGCGGCCAGGGGCCCGGGGAGCAGCCGCCUGAGGAGCCAGGCCAAGUGGCACCUGCCGCAGAGGCCCCACAGCCCAGAAACCGACGGCAACGUCGCAUCCAGCGCAAAAAGUUUACGCCGGUGCAGCUGCAGGAGCUGGAAGGCCUUUUCCAGCGCACUCAGUACCCGGACGUGCCCACCAGAAGGGAGCUUGCAAGACGCAUGGAUGUGACUGAAACCAGAGUGCAGAUUUGGUUUAAGAAUAGGAGGGCCAAGUAUAGAAGAAUGGAGAGAGCAGCCAUGCUUCAAGAUGCACCACCUGUUAGCCUGGACCAGCUUGUCAUCAUAAUGUUGGAUGAGCCCUAAAAUACCAUCUUCUUUCAGGAGCCAAAUUGGAGAUGGGUUCUUCUGGUGCCACUGAUACCUGGGCUGCUCAAUGCCACCCAUACCUCCUCUGUACUUGUAUUAUCAAUAAAGAGGUAAUUGCUUGAUA